AGGGCACCACCAGGAGUGGAGCCUGCGGCUUAAUUUGACUCAACACGGGAAAACUCACCCGGCCCGGACACUGGAAGGAUUGACAGAUUGAGAGCUCUUUCUUGAUUCAGUGGGUGGUGGUGCAUGGCCGUUCUUAGUUGGUGGAGUGAUUUGUCUGGUUAAUUCCGAUAACGAACGAGACUCUAGCCUACUAAAUAGAUCGUCGGCUUACAAACGCCGGCGAGACUUCUUAGAGGGACAGGCGGUGAUUCAACCGCACGAAACAGAGCAAUAACAGGUCUGUGAUGCCCUUAGGUGUCCGGGGCCGCACGCGCGCUACACUGAAGUGAUCAGCGUGCUUUUUCAACCUACUCUGUCAAGAGUGGGGAACCCAAUGAACCUUCUUCGUGAUUGGGAUAGGGGAUUGUAAUUAUUCCCCUUGAACGAGGAAUUCCCAGUAAGCGCGAGUCAUAAGCUCGCGUUGAUUACGUCCCUGCCCUUUGUACACACCGCCCGUCGCUACUACCGAUUGAAUGUUUU
rnacentral:rRNA from 1 species